UACGUAGGGUGCAAGCGUUGUCCGGAAUUAUUGGGCGUAAAGAGCUCGUAGGCGGUUUGUCGCGUCUGCUGUGAAAAUCCAGGGCUUAACCCUGGACCUGCAGUGGGUACGGGCAGACUGGAGUUCGGUAGGGGAGACUGGAAUUCCUGGUGUAGCGGUGAAAUGCGCAGAUAUCAGGAGGAACACCGGUGGCGAAGGCGGGUCUCUGGGCCGAUACUGACGCUGAGGAGCGAAAGCGUGGGGAGCGAACAGG
rnacentral:rRNA from 1 species